rnacentral:rRNA from 1 species
AACGAACGCUGGCGGCAUGCCUAACACAUGCAAGUCGAACGAGACCUUCGGGUCUAGUGGCGCACGGGUGCGUAACGCGUGGGAACCUGCCUUUAGGUUCGGAAUAACUCAGAGAAAUUUGAGCUAAUACCGGAUGAUGUCUUCGGACCAAAGAUUUAUCGCCUUUAGAUGGGCCCGCGUUGGAUUAGCUAGUUGGUGGGGUAAAGGCCUACCAAGGCGACGAUCCAUAGCUGGUCUGAGAGGAUGAUCAGCCACACUGGGACUGAGACACGGCCCAGACUCCUACGGGAGGCAGCAGUGGGGAAUAUUGGACAAUGGGCGAAAGCCUGAUCCAGCACUGCCGCGUGAGUGAUGAAGGCCUUAGGGUUGUAAAGCUCUUUUACCCGAGAUGAUAAUGACAGUAUCGGGAGAAUAAGCUCCGGCUAACUCCGUG